GCUCAUCUAGCUCAGUUGGUAGAGCACAAGGCUCUAAACCUUGUGAUUGUGGGUUCUCGAGCCCCAUGGUGGGCG
rnacentral:tRNA from 1 species